rnacentral:rRNA from 1 species
GUGCCAGCAGCCGCGGUAAUACAGAGGGUGCAAGCGUUAAUCGGAAUUACUGGGCGUAAAGCGCGCGUAGGUGGUUAGUUAAGUUGGAUGUGAAAUCCCCGGGCUCAACCUGGGAACUGCAUUCAAAACUGACUAACUAGAGUAUGGUAGAGGGUGGUGGAAUUUCCUGUGUAGCGGUGAAAUGCGUAGAUAUAGGAAGGAACACCAGUGGCGAAGGCGACCACCUGGACUGAUACUGACACUGAGGUGCGAAAGCGUGGGGAGCAAACAGGAUUAGAUACCCCUGUAGUCC